AUUGAACGCUGGCGGCGUGCCUAAUACAUGCAAGUCGACCUUAGUGGCGAACGGGUGCGUAACACGUGGGUAACCUGCCCAUCAGAAGGGGAUAACACUUGGAAACAGGUGCUAAUACCGUAUACUGAUGGAUGGACCCGCGGGGCAUUAGCUAGUUGGUGAGGUAACGGCUCACCAAGGCCAGGAUGCAUAGCGGACCUGAGGGGGUGAUCGGCAAAAUGGGAACUGAGACACGGCCCAAACCCCUACGGGAGGCAGAGUUAGGGAAUCUUCGGCAAUGGACGAAAGUCUGACCGGGCAAGGCCGCGUGAGUGAAGAAGGUUUUCGGAUGGUAAAACUCUGUUGUUAGAGAAGCGGUAUCUAACCAGAAAGCCACGGCUAACUACGUGCCAGCCGCCGCGUAAUAC
rnacentral:rRNA from 1 species